GUACUUGCUUCAGCAGCACAUAUACUAAAAUUGGGAUGAUAUACAGAAGGUUAGCAUGGCUCCUGCGCAAGGAUGACACUCAAAUUUGUGAGCUCAGCAGCCAGGGUAC
ensembl:snRNA U6 U6 spliceosomal RNA